rnacentral:rRNA from 1 species
UACGUAGGGGGCAAGCGUUGUCCGGAUUUACUGGGCGUAAAGAGCGUGUAGGCGGCCAAGCAGGUCCGUUGUGAAAACUGGAGGCUUAACCUCCAGACGUCGACGGAAACCGCGUGGCUAGAGUCCCGGAGAGGAAGGUGGAAUUCCCGGUGUAGCGGUGAAAUGUGUAGAGAUCGGGAGGAACACCGGUGGCGAAGGCGGCCUUCUGGACGGUGACUGACGCUGAGGCGCGAAAGCGUGGGGAGCAAACGGG